rnacentral:rRNA from 1 species
GAGUUUGAUCGUGGCUCAGAUUGAACGCUGGCGGCAUGCCUUACACAUGCAAGUCGAACGGCAGCAUGAUCUAGCUUGCUAGAUUGAUGGCGAGUGGCGAACGGGUGAGUAAUACAUCGGAACGUGCCCUGUAGUGGGGGAUAACUAGUCGAAAGAUUAGCUAAUACCGCAUACGACCUGAGGGUGAAAGUGGGGGACCGCAAGGCCUCAUGCUAUAGGAGCGGCCGAUGUCUGAUUAGCUAGUUGGUGGGGUAAAGGCCCACCAAGGCGACGAUCAGUAGCUGGUCUGAGAGGACGAUCAGCCACACUGGGACUGAGACACGGCCCAGACUCCUACGGGAGGCAGCAGUGGGGAAUUUUGGACGAAUGGGCGAAAGCCUGAUCCAGCAAUGCCGCGUGUGUGAAGAAGGCCUCGGUUGUAA